UACGAAGGGGGCGAGCGUUGUUCGGAAUUACUGGGCGUAAAGGGCGCGUAGGCGGCCGAUCAAGUCAGAUGUGAAAGUCCUGGGCUUAACCUGGGGACUGCAUUUGAUACUGAUUGGCUUGAAUUCGGGAGAGGAUAGCGGAAUUCCCAGUGUAGAGGUGAAAUUCGUAGAUAUUCGCAAGAACACCAGUGGCGAAGGCGGCUCACUGGCCCGAUACUGACGCUGAGGUGCGAAAGCGUGGGGAGCAAACAGG
rnacentral:rRNA from 1 species